rnacentral:rRNA from 1 species
UACGUAGGUGGCAAGCGUUGUCCGGAUUUACUGGGCGUAAAGAGCGCGCAGGCGGCCGAGUAAGUCGAAUGUGAAAGCCCCCGGCUCAACUGGGGAAGGUCAUUCGAUACUGUUCGGCUUGAAGAUAGGAGAGGGAAGCGGAAUUUCAGGUGUAGUGGUGAAAUGCGUAGAUAUCUGAAGGAACACCGGUGGCGAAGGCGGUUCUCUGGGCCUGUACUGACGCUGAGGAGCGAAAGCGUGGGGAGCGAACAGG